rnacentral:rRNA from 1 species
CCUACGGGCGGCAGCAGUGGGGAAUAUUGGACAAUGGGGGCAACCCUGAUCCAGCCAUGCCGCGUGUGUGAAGAAGGCCCUUGGGUUGUAAAGCACUUUCAGUGAGGAAGAACGCCUGGUGGUUAAUACCCAUCAGGAAAGACAUCACUCACAGAAGAAGCACCGGCUAACUCCGUGCCAGCAGCCGCGGUAAUACGGAGGGUGCGAGCGUUAAUCGGAAUUACUGGGCGUAAAGCGCGCGUAGGUGGCUUGAUAAGCCGGUUGUGAAAGCCCCGGGCUCAACCUGGGAACGGCAUCCGGAACUGUCAAGCUAGAGUGCAGGAGAGGAAGGUAGAAUUCCCGGUGUAGCGGUGAAAUGCGUAGAGAUCGGGAGGAAUACCAGUGGCGAAGGCGGCCUUCUGGACUGACACUGACACUGAGGUGCGAAAGCGUGGGUAGCAAACAGGAUUAGAUACCCGAGUAGUC